rnacentral:rRNA from 1 species
GACGAACGCUAGCGCCGCUGCCUAACACAUGCAAGUCGAACGAGCGAGAGAGAGCUUGCUUUCUUGAGCGAGUGGCGAACGGGUGAGUAACGCGUGAGGAACCUGCCUCAAAGAGGGGGACAACAGUUGGAAACGACUGCUAAUACCGCAUAAGCCCACAGGUCGGCAUCGACCAGAGGGAAAAGGAGCAAUCCGCUUUGAGAUGGCCUCGCGUCCGAUUAGCUAGUUGGUGAGGUAACGGCCCACCAAGGCAACGAUCGGUAGCCGGACUGAGAGGUUGAGCGGCCACAUUGGGACUGAGACACGGCCCAGACUCCUACGGGAGGCAGCAGUGGGGAAUAUUGCACAAUGGGGGAAACCCUGAUGCAGCGACGCCGCGUGGAGGAAGAAGGUCUUCGGAUUGUAAACUCCUGUUGUUGAGGAAGAUAAUGACGGUACUCAACAAGGAAGUGACGGCUAACUACGUGCCAGCAGCCGCGGUAAAACGUAGGUCACAAGCGUUGUCCGGAAUUACUGGGUGUAAAGGGAGCGCAGGCGGGAAGACAAGUUGGAAGUGAAAUCUAUGGGCUCAACCCAUAAACUGCUUUCAAAACUGUUUUUCUUGAGUAGUGCAGAGGUAGGCGGAAUUCCCGGUGUAGCGGUGGAAUGCGUAGAUAUCGGGAGGAACACCAGUGGCGAAGGCGGCCUACUGGGCACCAACUGACGCUGAGGCUCGAAAGUGUGGGUAGCAAACAGG